rnacentral:rRNA from 1 species
UGCGACCCCAGGUCAGGCGGGGCUACCCGCUGAGUUUAAGCAUAUCAAUACGCGGAAGAAUGGCCAAACUCCCAACGAAAAGAACCGAGCACCUGUUUUUUUCCACGAUCAUCUUGCCGGGCCCGAGGGCCCGUGCGCUCGAUAUCCAGCUUGUAAAAAAAAACCAGCGAGUUGCGCCAAGAAACAUCAUGUUUAACUGCGCACCUCUUCUGGAACGAGGAGCACACACGUGCAUGCAAACAUAUAUACGAUUCGCACGAAUUUCGCCGCUGCAU